GACGAACGCUGGCGGCGUGCCUAAUACAUGCAAGUCGAACGCAGUGGGGACGGGUGAGUAACACGUGGGUAACCUCCCAUCAGAGGGGAUAACACUUGGAAACAGGUGCUAAACCGAUACUGAUGGACGGACCCGCCGUGUACUGGCUAGUUGGUGAGGGAACGGCUCACCAAGGCCACGAUGCAUAGCCGACCUGGGAGGAUGAGCGGCCGCACUAGGACUGAGACACGGCCCAGACUCCUACGGUAGGCAGCAGUAGGGAAUCUUCGGCAAUGGACGAAAGUCUGACCGAGAGACGCCGCGUGAGUGAAGAAGGUUUUCGGAUCGUAAAACUCUGUUGUUAGAGAAGCGGUAUCUAACCAGAAAGCCACGACUAACUACAUGCCAGCAACCACGGUAAUUC
rnacentral:rRNA from 1 species